UGCCAGCCGCCGCGGUAAUACGUAGGGUGCGAGCGUUAACCGGAAUUACUGGGCGUAAAGCGCACGUAGGCGGAUUGUUUAGUCGGGGGUGAAAUCCCGUGGCUCAACCCCGGAACUGCCUCCGAUACUGGCAAUCUGGAGUCCGGAAGAGGUGGGUGGAAUUCCUAGUGUAGAGGUGAAAUUCUUAGAUAUUAGGAAGAACACCGGUGGCGAAGGCGGCCCACUGGUCCGGUACUGACGCUGAGGUGCGAAAGCGUGGGGAGCAAACAGGAUUAGAUA
rnacentral:rRNA from 1 species